rnacentral:rRNA from 1 species
UACGUAGGGUGCGAGCGUUAAUCGGAAUUACUGGGCGUAAAGCGUGCGUAGGCGGUUCGUUAUGUCUGCUGUGAAAGCCCCGGGCUUAACCUGGGAAUGGCAGUGGAAACUGGCGGGCUUGAGUGUGGCAGAGGGGGGUGGGAAUUCCGCGUGUAGCAGUGAAAUGCGUAGAGAUGCGGAGGAACACCGAUGGCGAAGGCAGCCCCCUGGGCUAACACUGACGCUGAGGCACGAAAGCGUGGGGAGCAAACAGG